rnacentral:rRNA from 1 species
GACGAACGCUGGCGGCGUGCUUAACACAUGCAAGUCGAACGGAAAGGCCCUGCUUUUGUGGGGUGCUCGAGUGGCGAACGGGUGAGUAACACGUGAGUAACCUGCCCUUGACUUUGGGAUAACUUCAGGAAACUGGGGCUAAUACCGGAUAGGAGCUCCUGCUGCAUGGUGGGGGUUGGAAAGUUUCGGCGGUUGGGGAUGGACUCGCGGCUUAUCAGCUUGUUGGUGGGGUAGUGGCUUACCAAGGCUUUGACGGGUAGCCGGCCUGAGAGGGUGACCGGCCACAGAGGGACUGGGGUACGGCCCAGACGCCAUCGGGAGGAAGCGGUGGGGAAUAGUGCACAAUGGGCGGAAGCGGGAUGGAGCAACGCCGCGUGGGGGAGGACGGCCUUCGGGUUGGAAACCGCUUUCGCCUGUGACGAAGCGUGAGGGACGGUACUGGGGAAAGAAGCACGGGCUAACUACGU